AAGUAUGAAGUGAUUUAUCACAAUUAGUUUCGACCUAAUCUUAGAUUUUUGUAUCCUUACUUU
rnacentral:tRNA from 1 species